CUGUAAAGGUGCAAAAUAAGAUGUGGCCAGAACUUUAGUUUAAAAUGUUAAAAAAAAGAAAAGAAUUAACACUAUCAACAGAGUGUGAAGCAGCCACAGUGAUGAUGUCAUGAUCAAGACCUCCAUCUGUUGUAUUUCAGAGUUAUCUACUGAAAUGCGCAUGCGCACCAGCCUCUCCUGACCUGUCCUGUGUUGUAAUACCACUUUGUGACUGUAGACGCUGUGUGAGUCAGUGGCGCGUCAAGUCUGCCCUCAGUCCCACGAAGAAGAACAACUUCCGGCAGCGGUUGAAGUUAGCAUCACAGAAACACAGGAAUGGCUGAACCUGCUAAAAGACGAUAUUCAUCUGCGUCCCGAAGGACCGCUCCCGACAAGAAACCACGUUCAACGGCAAAGAAAAGAAGCGACAGAGUAAAUUUGGAUGUGUCUUCCCGCCGCUGGAGAAGCUGCUGAGAGGAAAGAGAUGCGGUUUGAUGCCGAGCUCGCAACUUUCCUGUUAGCCUGGAGAUUUCAGCAUCCCUCUGUCUUCAUCAGGACCUGAGCCAGUACAGGUGUAAUACCGCCUCCACCUGUCUCACCAACGGCAGAGAGUCCAGACAGUGAGGAGGGUCCAGGACCAGAAGUCCAGUCUAAUCUUCACCAAUGAUGGACCAGCACCUGCCUUUUCUUCUGCAUCUGGCCUCAUCAAUCAUCAACCACAUGACAUCAACACCUUGAGGUAUGAUCCCUGCACAUGACAGAUAUUGUCUUUACUAUGAUCUUUUGCACAUCUUGCCCUGCAGGGGUUUGGUCAUUCUAAAACAAUUUUAUACAUAGUUGUGUAGUAUCCUUUUCAUUGUUUUAUUUGUUUAUUUUUUUAUUUGAGUGUUGCAGUAUUUUACCCUAUUCCCUAUGAAUACGUUAAUUGGAUACUACACCAAGCCAAAUAUCUUGUAAGUGACAAACCUUAUUUCCUGAGUCUGCCUUUGUGAUGAUGUCAUCAUCCCGUCCUCAAGCUGCUAUAUCCUGUCAAGCACCACCCAUGUGUCCUGCAGUGUGCUCUUGCCUUCAUAAAUCUAAUCCAGCUCGGAUCAGAACUACACCAUCCGAAACCAGCAAGAAACGGUGACAAAGAAGCUGCUGCUGCUUCUGAAACAGUUGCCUGGGUUACCAAUGUUGGUGUGUUGGCUUUCCAGGAUGGCGGCCGGAUUGAUGACACCACAUCUUGGAGCUGGACCCCCGGAGGAGCCUGUUGUCUCAUUGAGGCAUAGCGGUCCAAGCUGGAGGGGAAGCACAGGAUGCUCGGCCUGACUGUUGCCAAGGUGAUCCGGAGGAUCUCCUGGGAGAAGUGGAGGCUCCACUGUUGGAGGAGGACACAUGGGGCAGAGGAGACGUCCUCCUCAUCCAGGAUCUCCACGUCACCCUGGACGUCUCUUUGCUGGAUUCUCUCUGCAUCCAGGACACAUGGAGACACAGAGGAGCCUCAGCUGCAUUCAGGACCCAGCAGGUGCAGCUGUACAGAGACUGGUAGACUGACAAAGGGGCGGGGUCAGCCUUCUGGUUUCCACCUUAACCACUUCAUCCCAGCCAGUGCCAAGUACUUCCAAGCUCCUGGCAACACCUGCCAGACAGAGCAGGAGGAAGAGCGAGUUGUCUUCCCUCCCAGAGACCAGGAGAGGCAGCCCAGGUGACAGUUCAAGGCAGCGACGGGGAAGAACACCUCCUGUCCUGGGAAGGAGAGUCUCCAGAGCUGUCUUCUUGGACUGAACUCGGGCCCUGCAAACUGGGCCAGUGUUAGCCGCCUGGUGGAGGCCGUUUGCAACCAGCUCUGCGUCUUCACCCGGUGGCCACGUGGUCCAGAGGGACCGCGAGGACUCGCAUGUCAUUCAUUCUCAAGGAUCAUGUGGCAUCAGAGAGGCAGUGCUGGCCGGCCCCAGGUUGAUGGCUCAGACCAACAUCCAGCUCUUUGAAUUGAAUCGAGGACUCAGUGGUGCUGGCCAGACUCUCCCUUCAGCAAAGGGUCUGUCCCUGGUCCAGGUGGGACAAGGACAGACCUUUAACUUCAAUGUCCCGGAGGAGCAGCCUGGGCCCUCAUCCAGUGCUGUUGGUCCUCCCCUCGCUCCAGCACCACUCCCCUCCUCUGUUCCUCCACCUCCUCUGCCUGGACUACCUGUACCCAGGACCAGAGCCUACAGGAAGAGGAAGGUGACCUGAAGCUGCUGUGGCAGAGCGGGGGUCGCUGCCUGGAGGAAAAACCCUCCGGCUGCCAACGUCAAACAUCUGCAGCAAGUGUGUCCAACCCAGAAGGAUUGACACUGACCUCACUCACAUUGCAGGUGAGUCACACUGUGACUGUUGGUGGAAAGACUGUGGAGGAGUGGAGGGAAGAGAUGAAGAGAAGAAAGGAAACAGAUGGAACUGACCCACCAGAACUGCAACCUGGAGCAGAACCAGACUCUUCAUAGAUGUGAUGCUGUGACCUCAGAGACGGAUGUGUUCACCUCACACACUCUUUAGUGUGAACUGAACACUGACAGUUCAGAUGGUGAAGCAGGUGUCAGUGUAGUACAGCUCAUGUUCAUUAGUUUUAUUCACAACUUCAUUGUUGUCAUUGAAAAGGUGUUUAAUAAAUAAACCUGUGAUUAAA